rnacentral:rRNA from 1 species
UACGAAGGGGGCUAGCGUUGCUCGGAAUCACUGGGCGUAAAGCGCACGUAGGCGGAUUGUUAAGUCAGGGGUGAAAUCCUGGAGCUCAACUCCAGAACUGCCUUUGAUACUGGCGAUCUUGAGUCCGGGAGAGGUGAGUGGAACUGCGAGUGUAGAGGUGAAAUUCGUAGAUAUUCGCAAGAACACCAGUGGCGAAGGCGGCUCACUGGCCCGGUACUGACGCUGAGGUGCGAAAGCGUGGGGAGCAAACAGGA